GCUGCGAUGGACAAGUGGUUAAGGCGUUGGACUCAAAAUCCAAAGGGGUUUCCCCACACAGGUUUGAACCCUCCUCGCAGCU